rnacentral:rRNA from 1 species
AACGCUAGCUACAGGCUUAACACAUGCAAGUCGAGGGGCAGCAUGAACUUAGCUUGCUAAGUUUGAUGGCGACCGGCGCACGGGUGAGUAACACGUAUCCAACCUGCCGAUGACUCGGGGAUAGCCUUUCGAAAGAAAGAUUAAUACCCGAUGGCAUAAUUCUUCCGCAUGGUAGAACUAUUAAAGAAUUUCGGUCAUCGAUGGGGAUGCGUUCCAUUAGGUUGUUGGCGGGGUAACGGCCCACCAAGCCUUCGAUGGAUAGGGGUUCUGAGAGGAAGGUCCCCCACAUUGGAACUGAGACACGGUCCAAACUCCUACGGGAGGCAGCAGUGAGGAAUAUUGGUCAAUGGACGAGAGUCUGAACCAGCCAAGUAGCGUGAAGGAUGACUGCCCUAUGGGUUGUAAACUUCUUUUAUACGGGAAUAAAGUGAGGCACGUGUGCCUUUUUGUAUGUACCGUAUGAAUAAGGAUCGGCUAACUCCGUGCCAGCAGCCGCGGUAAUACGGAGGAUCCGAGCGUUAUCCGGAUUUAUUGGGUUUAAAGGGAGCGUAGAUGGAUAUUUAAGUCAGUUGUGAAAGUUUGCGGCUCAACCGUAAAAUUGCAGUUGAUACUGGAUAUCUUGAGUGCAGUUGAGGCAGGCGGAAUUCGUGGUGUAGCGGUGAAAUGCCUAGAUAUCACGAAGAACUCCGAUUG